rnacentral:lncRNA from 1 species
UACAAAUCAUGUUCAUCAUGGCUUUGAACCUGAAUCUUAAGUUGCAUUAUCUUUGUUGUUAAAUAUUUUGGAAUAUUGGUGUGGUACAUUGUACAUAUGAAUGGCAGGGUACCUUUGCUUGCUCUAUUAAUGGUUACUUUCUAAUGUUUCUAAUGUGGCCUUGUGAUCAUGAGGUCACAGGUUUGAGUCCUGGAAACACCCUCUUUCAGAAAUUUAGGGAAAGGCUGUGUACAAAAGACCAAAGUGGUCGAACCCUUCCCCGGACCCUGCGCAAGCGGGAGCUACGUGCACCGGGCUGCCCUGUUUUUUUGCUUGCAUUAGUCAAUACACAGAAAUGGUUUACUUGAUAGUAAUUUUGGAUAACAGAGGUGUUAGUGUUGUAGCUGACGUUGUCUACAGAGGUUGUAGAGUGGGAUACUCGGAGGACGCGUGGGCCGUCACAGUGUAGGCGCCGUGGUACAGUAGAAGGGUAGUGGCGAAAGAUUGGAGACUUAGAGGGGUAGAAGAGAAGCAUAGGCAGGAACUAGGGGCCUGUUUGGAGUGGAUAUUAGAUUAAAAAAUAGGCCCAUUGAAUGCAUUGAUGGGACGUUUACUGCUUCACCCGGCCAGGCACCAACCAAACAGGUUUUCUCCAGGCGAGCCUCAUCAGGCAAAAACACUCCAGCGUCUCACGUCCACACCAGGCACCCUCAAGAUUCCAGGCAGGAGGGCGAGGACAUGAACCAAACUGACCCUAGACAUUUCGUUUCU